GCAAACUAUUUCAGCCACAUCUUCUAAUCAUGCAGAGAUUUUAGCAAUUCAUGAAGCUAGCUGUGAGUGUGUAUGGCUAAGAUCCAUAGUUCACCAUAUACAAGAAGACUGUGGUAUGUAUGCAGGGAAAAAGACUCCAACAAUUAUGUACGAAGACAAUGCAGCAUGCAUCGCACAACUCAAAGACGGAUACAUCAAAGGCGAUAGAACAAAGCACAUCCUACCAAAAUUCUUCUUCACACACGAUCUACAAAAGAGCGGCGAUGUACGAGUUCUACAGAUCCGUUCGAAUGAUAAUCUGGCUGACUUAUUCACCAAGGCGCUACCUACUGCUAUUUUCAAGAAGUUAGUCUAUCGUAUCGGAUUACGCUGUCUCAAAUAUCUCGAUGAAUAUACUCAUAAGGGGGAGUAAUUGUAUGUUGCACUCUUUUUUUCUUAACCAUGGUUUUUCUCAUUGAGUUUUCCUGGUAAGGUUUUUAAUGAGGCAGCAUUUCAAAUACUUUACCAUUAUGGUACUAUAAUGGUCAUCAAGGGGGAGUGUUAUGAAUAAAGAUGGAUGCCCAUUAUAAGGCCCAUCAUCUAAGCCCAUCAUCUAGAUGUUUCUAGGGUUUUACCCUUUCCUUGUACUCCUAUAUAAAGAACCUUUUUCUCAAUGGAAUACUACACUCAUUUUCUUCUAUAUCUUUCUCUAGUUACAACAGGUUGUAGGUUUUAUUAAUUUAAUAUUAUUACUUUGUAGAAAUAAGAUUAUGGUUGUAUGUAUUUAUAA
rnacentral:sRNA from 1 species